rnacentral:rRNA from 1 species
GACAGAGGGUGCAAACGUUGUUCGGAUUUACUGGGCGUAAAGCGCGUGUAGGCGGCUUCGUAAGUUGGAUGUGAAAUCCCACGGCUCAACCGUGGACGUGCAUCCAAAACUACGUCGCUGGAGUCUCGGAGAGGAAGGUGGAAUGCUUGGUGUAGAGGUGAAAUUCGUAGAUAUCAAGCAGAACACCUGCGGCGAAGGCGGCCUUCUGGACGACGACUGACGCUGAGACGCGAAAGCGUGGGGAGCAAACAGG